GACGAACGCUGGCGGCGUGCCUAAUACAUGCAAGUCGAACGCAGUGGGGACGGGUGAGUAACACGUGGGUAACCUCCCAUCAGAGGGGAUAACACUUGGAAACAGGUGCUAAACCGAUACUGAUGGAUGGACCCGCGGGGCAUUAGCUAGUUGGUGAGGUAACGGCGCACCAAGGCCACGACGCAUAGCGUACCGGAGAGGGUGAUCGGCAACACUGGGACUGAGACACGGCCCAGCUGCCACCGGGAGGCAGCAGUAGGGAAUCUUCGGCAAUGGACGAAAGUCUGACCGAGCAACGCCGCGUGAGUGAAGAGGGUUUUGGGAUCGUAAAACUCUGUUGUUAGAGAAGCGGUAUCUAACCAGAAAGCCACGGCUAACUACGUGCCAGCCGCCGCGGUAAUU
rnacentral:rRNA from 1 species